UACGGGGGGAGCAAGCGUUGUUCGGAUUUACUGGGCGUAAAGGGCGGGUAGGCGGCCACCGCAAGUCAGUUGUGAAAUCUCUGGGCUUAACCCAGAAAGGUCAACUGAUACUGCGGGGCUAGAGUGCAGAAGGGGCAACUGGAAUUCUCGGUGUAGCGGUGAAAUGCGUAGAUAUCGAGAGGAACACCUGCGGCGAAGGCGGGUUGCUGGGCUGACACUGACGCUGAGACACGAAGGCGUGGGGAGCGAACGGG
rnacentral:rRNA from 1 species